GGCCGCGGUAUCCUGACCGUGCAAAGGUAGCAUAAUCAUUUGUUCCUUAAUUAGGGACUUGUAUGAAUGGCCCCACGAGGGUUUGACUGUCUCUUACUUUUAAUCAGUGAAAUUGACCUUCCCGUGAAGAGGCGGGAAUGCAAAAAUAAGACGAGAAGACCCUAUGGAGCUUAAAUUAACAUGUUCAACAAAAUUCAACUUCAACCCAAUAGGAACAAUAGCAUUUUAACUGAACAGCAAAUUUUGGUUGGGGUGACCUCGGAGUAUAACAAAGCCUCCGAGCAAUUUAACCAAGACUUACCAGUCAAGGUCACAUAACUUAUUGAUCCAAUCACAUUGAUCAACGAAACAAGUUACCCUAGGGAUAACAGCGCAAUCCUAUUUGAGAGUUCAUAUCGACAAUAGGGUUUACGACCUCGAUGUUGGAUCAGGACACCCAAAUGGUGCAACAGCU
rnacentral:rRNA from 1 species